CUGCUUACUUCAACAACACAUAGACUAAAAUUAAAACAAUACACAGAAGAUUAGCAUGGCCUCUGCGAAAGAAUGACAUACAAGGAGUUCCCAUUGUGG
ensembl:snRNA U6 U6 spliceosomal RNA